rnacentral:lncRNA from 1 species
GAUCCUCAAGAAAACUCUUUUUCAUCAAUCGCACUAUUGUGGCCACAGAUUUUUAGACUUAGCCUCCUAAAUCUCAUAAGAUAAUUUCUCUCUAUCAAGAUCGAUAGUUUCCAUCUAGAUGCACAUCCUACUCCUACAAUGGAUCAAUUAUUGUCAACAUCCACUACAAGGGCUCAUUAAAAUCAUGUUAAUGUGUCAGUCAAACUCCAGCAGUCUCACUACGAGCAAUCGUUCCAUCAU